UGGGGAAUAUUGCACAAUGGGGGAAACCCUGAUGCAGCGACGCCGCGUGAACGAAGAAGGUAUUCGUAUCGUAAAGUUCUGUCCUAUGGGAAGAUAAUGACAGUACCAUAGAAGAAAGCUCCGGCUAAAUACGUGCCAGCAGCCGCGGUAAUACGUAUGGAGCGAGCGUUGUCCGGAAUUAUUGGGCGUAAAGGGUACGCAGGCGGUUUAAUAAGUCGAAUGUUAAAGAUCGGGGCUCAACCCCGUAAUGCAUUGGAAACUGAUAAACUUGAGUAUUGGAGAGGAAAGUGGAAUUCCUAGUGUAGUGGUGAAAUACGUAGAUAUUAGGAGGAAUACCAGUAGCGAAGGCGACUUUCUGGACACAAACUGACGCUGAGGUACGAAAGCGUGGGGAGCAAACAGG
rnacentral:rRNA from 1 species